rnacentral:lncRNA from 1 species
GGCCUCCAGAUAUGCAGGGUACACUUGCUCAGCUGUUCCAGUCAAACUUGGAAGGAUUAACUCCGGCUGUCUGCAAAAAGGUGGGGGUGGAAAGGUCUUUUCAGAAAAGCCAGUUGCUUUUCUCCUUUUAGGGAGCUGCUAUACCCACCCUGCCAUUAUAUACAAAUACACAUGUGCACACAUAUUUCUAUAACAGAUAUUAAAAGCAGUAACAAAUAUGGACAGGUGUUAGGUUUGUCUGACAAAGCACAAUAGGUUCAAGAGUUGGCUUUCAGAGCCUAAAUGGCCCAUCAAAAAUCAGAAAACUGCUAAGUAAUCCUUAGAAAAAGGACACAGAGUGAGCAGAAAGUGAAAAUAAAUGUUUAUUAAAAGACAAACCAGUUGUAACUAUUGAUCCUACGAAAUCUUCUAUUUGGAACAAGCAUUCAAAAUUUCAAAAUGGUAAAUAAUUCUAAAUAAGUUUCAGGGGCUAUGACGUCCCUAAUCGUGGAGAGCCAGUAAUAUUGUAACAUGCUUUUGGAUGAUUAAACCAUGAGGAUUAAAUGCAACUGUGAGGGCAUCUGUGAGAAUUUAAGUAUUACCAUGCCCUCCAUGCCCCGCCCCCAUCAGUGUAAUUCUUCUCCUUUUAUGGUCACUGUAAUUUAUUUUAGGAUUGUUCAGAAGAAACAGAUUUUUAAGAGUCAAAAUGGCUAUAGCAUAUUUUGAUGGUAUUCUUGGUUAAACAUUUACCUGAACUCAGUUCUAACAGAUUAGGAGGACCACUAUACUCGAUUAUCUUAAAUUUGCUGGUACUGAUUCUAUGUGCAUUACACAUGAAGAACAAGAAUAAAUCUAUUCAGUAUAAUUAAUAAAACAUUUAUUGAACAUCUAUUGCAGACAAAAUAUUGUACUAAGCCCUGGAGAAAUGAACACAGUUCUGUUGUCAAUGAAUUUACAGUUUAUGGGAGAAAUAGAUAAGGACACAGGCAAAGCCAAAAAGCAAAACAAUGCUACAGCACAAAACUAAAUGUUGUAAGCAACUUCUCAUACAUGGAAAAACAUUUUUUAAAAAUUACUCUUGGCCGGGUGGUGUGGCUCACACCUGUAAUCCCAACACUUUGGGAGGCUGAGGCAGAGGGAUCACUUGAGGUCAGGAGUUCGAGACCAGCCUGGCUAACAUGGCAAAACCCUGUCUCUAUUAAAAAUACAAAAAUUAGCUGGGCGUGGUGGCAUGCACCCUGUAAUCCCAGCUACUUGGGAGGCUGAGGCAGGAGAAUUGCUUGAACCCAGGAGGCGAAGGCUCACCACCGCAGCCGAGAUCACGCCACUGCACUCCAGCCUGGGCAACAGAGCAAAACUCCAUCUCAAAAAAAAAAAAAAAAGUUGCUCUUAAUACACAGUUUUAUAGUCUCUCUCACCAUUAGAAUUAUAAAACCCUACUUUGUCAAUUCUUAACAGAGAUUAUCAAAGCCUCAUAACAUUUCAGAUGUGCUUUGCCAUACCUUAAGGGAUUAUAAUAUACAGUCAGCCCUCCUUAUCCUUGGGUUACACAUUUGUGAAUUCAACCAACUGCAAACAAAAUAUUUGUGAAAAGCAAUAAAAAAAACCCAAUACUGUACAAUAACAAAAAUAUAAUACAAAUUUUAAAGACAAUAGUUAUAAUAAUUAUUUACAUAGCAUUUACAUUGUUUUGGAAAUAUUAUGUUGUUUAAUAAUGUGUUAUAGUUCUAUAUUUGUAAAUGAAAUUAUAUAGGGGUAUGCAUGCAUGUAUGAAUCUAUGUGUACAUCAAUCAAUAAAUUAUGUAUGUAAUUAGACUUUGAAAAGCAGUGCUCCAAAUAAAAUGAAAAAACUAAAAAAUUUAUUGUGUAAUUAGUUAAGCUUUUAUUAAGUCACAUAUAAGUUAGACAUGUAUGUAUAUGUAUACACAUAUACGUAAUGUAUUGGUUGACAUACACACCAAUAUAUGCCAUAUGUAUACACAUUAUAUAUACACAUACCAUUAUAUGCCAUACAUAUACAUAUAUAUACACACGUGUGUGUGUGUGUGUGUGUGUGUGUGUGUGUGUGUGUAGCC